rnacentral:lncRNA from 1 species
AUAUAUAGAAUCCGGCUAUAUUCUUAUGAGUACCAUCGACUUCGUACUUAUAAAUUACUUUCGAUGAUAGAGUUAUCGAAUCGACGAUCCAUACCGUUAAACAUUAUCUAGAGCAUUUAAAACUUCUAGAAAUUAAAUUUUAUAAAUUUUCAAUAUCAUUUACCCUACGAUCAAAAGCUCACAAAAUUUAUAAUUUUUAACGGCUGGUAUGGAAUAUUUGCUAGUUUAAUGGUGUAAAAGAAUCGGAAUAGGUUGAAUUUUUGAUAAAAAAAUUCUUUUCACUACCUAAAUAAAGAUCAAUAACUCUGAUCUUAAAUUGAAAGAUCCGAUCAUCCAUUUUUAGGAUGUCGUUCGGUUUUGACUGUUCAUUUUAUACCCGCUUGAUGAACUUUAUAAUAAUUUCGACAAAUUAUGAAAUUUAUUUUCUAGAAGUUUCAAAUGCUCUAGAUUAUGUUUAAUGGUGUGAAUUGUCGAUUCGAAAACCCUAACAUCGAAAACAACUUAUGAGUACGAAGGGCUCUAUACUCAUAAUAGUAUAGUAACCAUACUAUAUAUAUAUAUAUAAUUUUCUUGAAUACUAUCGGUAGUAAACGGCUCGGUUUACUACCGAUUUGUUUUCGAUGAUAGAGCUUCCAAAUUGAUGAUCGGCACCGUUAAACAUGAUCUAAACUAUUUAAACUAUCUGAAAAUCAAAUUUCACACAUUUUCGAUAUUGUUCUCUUGUUCAUCAAGUGAACAGAAAAAUAAAUGGCUGGAAAUGAAUAUCCUUCGAAAAGUGAUGAUACAAUUUUUAUAUUUGAGAUCUAGAGUCUAAAUCUUAUUUUAGAUAGUUUAAAGAAUUUUCAAGCAAAAAUUUAGUUGAUUUGAACUCUUCUAUACCGUUAAAUGAACAAACGCACCAUAUCGACCAUUAAAAUUAUAGAUUUUGUGACCCUUUGAUCGUUCAGUUAGUGAUGCCAAAAAAUCAUGAAAUUUGAUUUCUAGAUAAUUUAAAUGGUCUAGAUCAUGUUUAACGGUGCCGAUCGUCGAUUUGGAAGCUCUAUCAUCAAAAACAAAUCGGUAGUAAACCGAACAGUUUACUACCGAUAGUAGCCUAGUCAAACUCUCUCUCUCUCUCUCUCUCUAUAUAUAUAUAUAUAAUAUAUAUAUAGAACUAGGCUACUAUGCUAUUAAUAGCACCAAGUCAUUGGUGCUACCAAGUUUUUAGCCAUUGGAUUAAGAGAUAUGUGGUUAGGAUGAUGUGGGUCCCCUAGAGUUGAGUGGGUGGUUGGUUGAAUAUUAUGAUCUAACGGGUGAAAAUAAUCAAAAGGAUAGAUCUAACGGCGGAAAACUUGGUAGCACUAAGUAUUUCUUGCUAUUAACAGCAUAGUAGCCGAACUCUCUCUCUCUCUCUCUCUCUCUCUCUCUCUCUCUCUCUCUCUCUCUAUAUAUAUAUAUAUAUAUAUAUAUAUAUAUAUANN